rnacentral:rRNA from 1 species
GACGAACGCUGGCGGCGUGCUUAACACAUGCAAGUCGAGCGGUAAGGCCCUUUCGGGGGUACACGAGCGGCGAACGGGUGAGUAACACGUGGGCGACCUGCCCUCAGCUCUGGGAUAAGCCUGGGAAACUGGGUCUAAUACUGGAUAUGACUCCACGGUGCAUGUCGUGGGGUGGAAAGCCUUGUGCGGCUGAGGAUGGGCCCGCGGCCUAUCAGCUUGUUGGUGGGGUGANGGCCUACCAAGGCGACGACGGGUAGCCGGCCUGAGAGGGCGACCGGCCACACUGGGACUGAGACACGGCCCAGACUCCUACGGGAGGCAGCAGUGGGGAAUCUUGCGCAAUGGGCGAAAGCCUGACGCAGCGACGCCGCGUGAGGGAUGACGGCCU